rnacentral:rRNA from 1 species
UUGUAAUGUAAUUCCUACAAUGUUAAUGCACCGGAUACCAUUAAAACUCUUCAGUUAAGCACGCUUGGGCUAGAGUAGUAUUAAGAUGGGUGACCUCUCGAGAAGUGCUAGUGUUGUACAUG